UACGGAGGGAGCUAGCGUUGUUCGGAAUUACUGGGCGUAAAGCGCGCGUAGGCGGCUUUGUAAGUUAGAGGUGAAAGCCCGGGGCUCAACCCCGGAACUGCCUUUAAGACUGCAUCGCUUGAAUCCGGGAGAGGUGAGUGGAAUUCCGAGUGUAGAGGUGAAAUUCGUAGAUAUUCGGAAGAACACCAGUGGCGAAGGCGGCUCACUGGACCGGUAUUGACGCUGAUGUGCGAAAGCGUGGGGAGCGAACAGG
rnacentral:rRNA from 1 species